rnacentral:rRNA from 1 species
GUGUCAGCCGCCGCGGUAAUACGAAGGGGGCUAGCGUUGUUCGGAAUCACUGGGCGUAAAGCGCGCGUAGGCGGGUCGUUAAGUCGGGGGUGAAAUCCUGAGGCUCAACCUCAGAACUGCCUUCGAUACUGGCGACCUUGGAGUCCGGGAGAGGUGAGUGGAACUCCUAGUGUAGAGGUGAAAUUCGUAGAUAUUAGGAAGAACACCAGUGGCGAAGGCGGCUCACUGGCCCGGUACUGACGCUGAUGUGCGAAAGCGUGGGGAGCAAACAGGAUUAGAUACCCCGGUAGUCC